GUAAGUCCAGGUCAAGUCUUAAACCUUUGGGGUGCAAGGUCAGGUCAAAUCUUGAAACACUGGGGUGCAAGGUCAGGUCAAAUCUUGAAAUUCUGGUUUGCAAGGUCAGGUCAAAUCUUGAAACUCUGGGGUUCAAUGUCAGGUCAAAUCUUGAAACUCUGGGGUUCAAGGUCAGGUCAAAUCUUGAAACUCUGGGGUUCAAUGUCACGUCACAUCUUGCAACUCUAGGGUGCAAGGUUAGGUCAAAUCUUGAAAUUCUGGGGUGCAAGGUCAGGUCAAAUCUUAAAUCUCUGGGGUUCAAGGUCAGGUCAAAUC